rnacentral:ncRNA from 1 species
UUAUUCGAUGAAAGGAGAGGUGGUUGCCAUCUCCCCUAAUAGGGUCAGGAAUAGCCUUCGGGCUUCCCUAUUAACACAACAAUGACAUCUAGGUACUUAAGAUUUAGGGUGUUUA